rnacentral:rRNA from 1 species
UUAGAGUUUGAUCCUGGCUCAGGAUGAACGCUAGCGGCAGGCUUAACACAUGCAAGUCGAGGGGCAGCGAGAUCAGUGCUUGCACUGAUUGUCGGCGACCGGCGCACGGGUGCGUAACGCGUAUGCAACCUACCCAUUACAGGGGGAUAACACUGAGAAAUCGGUACUAAUACCCCAUAACAUCCAGGGAGGCAUCUUCUUGGGUUGAAAACUCCGGUGGUAAUGGAUGGGCAUGCGUUGUAUUAGUUAGUUGGUGGGGUAACGGCUCACCAAGACAACGAUACAUAGGGGGACUGAGAGGUUAACCCCCCACAUUGGUACUGAGACACGGACCAAACUCCUACGGGAGGCAGCAGUGAGGAAUAUUGGUCAAUGGACGCAAGUCUGAACCAGCCAUGCCGCGUGCAGGAAGACGGCUCUAUGAGUUGUAAACUGCUUUUGUACGAGGGUAAACGCAGAUACGCGUAUCUGUCUGAAAGUAUCGUACGAAUAAGGAUCGGCUAACUCCGUGCUAGCAGCCGCGGUAAUACGGAGGAUUCAAGCGUUAUCCGGAUUUAUUGGGUUUAAAGGGUGCGUAGGCGGUCGGAUAAGUUAGAGGUGAAAUCCCGGGGCUCAACUUCGGAAUUGCCUCUGAUACUGUUCGGCUAGAGAGUAGUUGCGGUAGGCGGAAUGUAUGGUGUAGCGGUGAAAUGCUUAGAGAUCAUACAGAACACCGAUUGCGAAGGCAGCUUACCAAGCUACUUCUGACGUUGAGGCACGAAAGCGUGGGGAGCAAACAGGAUUAGAUACCCUGGUAGUCCACGCAGUAAACGAUGAUAACUCGUUGUCGGCGAUACAGUGUCGGUGACUAAGCGAAAGCGAUAAGUUAUCCACCUGGGGAGUACGUUCGCAAGAAUGAAACUCAAAGGAAUUGACGGGGGCCCGCACAAGCGGAGGAACAUGUGGUUUAAUUCGAUGAUACGCGAGGAACCUUACCCGGGCUUGAAAGUUAGUGACGGAUCUUGAAAGAGGUCUUCCCUUCGGGGCACGAAACUAGGUGCUGCAUGGUUGUCGUCAGCUCGUGCCGUGAGGUGUCGGGUUAAGUCCCAUAACGAGCGCAACCCCUACCGUUAGUUGCCAGCAGGUCAAGCUGGGCACUCUGACGGGACUGCCGGUGUAAGCCGAGAGGAAGGUGGGGAUGACGUCAAAUCAGCACGGCCCUUACGUCCGGGGCUACACACGUGUUACAAUGGCAGGUACAGAGGGCAGCUACCCAGCGAUGGGAUGCGAAUCUCGAAAGCCUGUCUCAGUUCGGAUUGGAGGCUGAAACCCGCCUCCAUGAAGUUGGAUUCGCUAGUAAUCGCGCAUCAGCCAUGGCGCGGUGAAUACGUUCCCGGGCCUUGUACACACCGCCCGUCAAG